UGGAAACUUCGCCUCGCCACCUCAAGACCCCUCCACGCUCCGAUUGGCUAGCGGGGCCGCCGACGGCGCCGCCUCGGGCUGUGCGUUCUCUAUUGGUCGAAGGCGCCCGUCAGUCACAGCGGAGCUCCCCUCUCACAGGCCGCCGCCCUCUGUGUCCCACCGCGAGGGCGGGGCCCGCCGCUUCUCGGAGGAGUCAUCUAUCACUAGCUCGCCAGCUUCCAAUUCCCCACCAGAAGAGGAUCCCGAUUCUGGCAGUGCCUCCAUACCUGAAAUCUCAUACUCACUCCCACGGCCUUCUGAAAAAACAGAUGUGUCAGCACCAAAACUCUCAGAAGGGGAAUGUGAGUCUGGAGGUUUGUGCUUUUUCCGAGAUGACUUCAGGAAGCUAUGCAGUUCGUGACCCACAUGGAACGACCCUUGCUCAUCUCGAGACGAUUUCUUUGAGGAUUUUUUUGAGAAAGAAUCAUCAUCUGUUGCACUGCUUUUCUCUUUUGGUGAAAGGAUAAGCUUCAUUUUCAAGCCAUCAGGCUCACGAAGAGUAAGUGUCUCUGUGUUCACAUAAAGAGGUUUCAUUUUUUUAGUUUUGUGGAAGCUGCCAUCGUCCACUGAGUGCUCUGCACUGCUCCCACUCAUCUUCUUCUUGUGGUGCUCCUUUCUGCUUUCAGAAUGCCCAGAGGAAGGAUAAGAUGAUUUUUCAGAGGUCUUCUUUGAAGAUUUAGAGCUUGUGGACAAAGGUGUGGCGAUAGCCUUGAGUAGAUCCAUGUUUUUGUCAGUGGAAGAUGGGCUAGAAACUGUUUUUUUCUUCUUCUUUGAUGGUAGAUCCAAAGAUGAAAGACCUGAAAAAGGUCAAGAGAACUGCUCAUCAAGACAAUUCUCUUAAAGAUAGCAUUACACAAACCAAAAGUGAAGAGGGAAUCCUGCAAUACUUAUUAUUACAGCUAAGUGAUUUUCAUCUUGGCUGAAGAAGGUCUCUGAAACUUGCAGUCAGCUCAGUGUGUCCUUACAGAUAACAAUUCAGGAGCUGUAACACCAGAGCUGGUCAAUAUAUUUAAUGAAGAAAGACAGAAUGGGAAAGUUCUUGCAUUUCAUCAAAGUUUGCAUUCUAUCAUAAACCAGCAUAUUUUGAUAAAAAUAUCUUACUAAGUCUGAAAUAUUAUAAACUUGUAACAUCACUUUUAGCCCUGGAGGGACCAAUAAACGUACUGAAACAAGUAUAAGCUUUUCAUUCUUAAAAUAGAUUUUUUACUAAUUUCAGCUUGCAAAGAUAUUCCAAAGACUUGGCUUUCUUUUUGCACUGGGACAAAAAUAAAUCUUAAGCCUGUUAAGCUUUUAUGAACAGGGUUGUCAUUUUUUGGGCAGCUUUUUCAUUGUGAGGAUAAUGCUUCUGUAUGCAAUCUGAACCCAAAAGCAGUCAUAUUGUAUUCUGACACAUCCUAUUCUUAUAAAUUCAGAUAAAUUAAUUAGUACUAUCUGCAGCUUGUAAUGCAAUAGGGAAAAAAAGAAUGCAAAUGCCAAAAAGGAAGGCAUGAGUUAGAAAACUACAACUUGUCAGUGAAAAGAAGAGUGGAAGGUCUCUGCUCUGACAACAGCAACCUUUUAAGCUAAACUCUGAAAACAUCAUUUACUGAUAUUUUGCUGUUUGGUGCAGCAGAAAUCCCAUCAGUCAGGUGUCUGACUACUUGGCCUAAGACCAGUUGGUGUACUUUCCCCUUGAUAAAGCACUAACCACAAAGUUUGAUGACACUGGUUUAACAGUAUCCUUUCCUCAAAGUCAUUAUUCAUUAUCUGCUUCCCCUGUCUGAUUACUGUCUUACCCCUGGAGCAGAACUCAUCGGAAGAAUGCUUCCUCUUCUUUUUGUGAUGUUCUGUCCCCAGAAAGAGCUCACUGUCCUAGAAUAAGAAGA
rnacentral:lncRNA from 1 species